rnacentral:pre_miRNA from 14 species
UUAAAGUGCUUCAUUACUACCCAUCUACCAACAUCAUAUGAUACAAGUAUGAAACUGAAAGACCCCCGGAGUGGGGAGACCCUCACUCAAGUCUCGGGAUGACACAACCCCCCAAGAACUCACACAAGACC